GACAGUCAUCCCAGAAUUUUAUGUCAAGUAAAAAUAUCCUCUACAAAUGAAGAUGGAAUAAAAACAUUCUCAGAUAAAGGAAAGCUGAAUUUGUUGCCAGAAGACCUGCUCUAAACAACUGUUAUAUACACUGUGUCAAAACAAGUGAAAGUGUCCCUGAUAAUUCAGCAUCUUGGCCUAUAAGAAAGAAAGAAGGAAGGAAGGAAGAUUGGUUACUCAUGAAAGCAAACCCAAAAGACAGCAAAUUUCGAACAGGUCCUUUAGAACAUGAGAGUUGGAAGAAAAGUGAAGAAAAACAAAUAUCUGCUUUGAAGCAGCAGAUGGUCACGCUCACAGAUACCAUUUUUCAAGUGAAUGCUAAGAAAGCUAUCUUAAUUUAUUUUUUGGAAUAAAUAAGAAAACUUUACUAGAAAAUAAACCACUUUUGUAAUUACCAAAAUAGCACAGACUGUGAAUAAUACUGCUAAGGCAUUUUUCAAAAAAUAUGUCUAAGUGAAUAAACUCAGUUAUUCAAUCCA